UACGUAGGCAGCAAGCGUUGUUCGGAAUUACUGGGCGUAAAGCGAGUGUAGGUGGUGCUAUAAGUUUGGUGUGAAAUCUCCCGGCUCAACUGGGAGGGUGCGCCGAAGACUGUAGUGCUAGAGUGUGGGAGAGGUAGGCGGAAUUCCUGGUGUAGCGGUGAAAUGCGUAGAUAUCAGGAGGAACACCUGCGGUGUAGACGGCUUACUGGACCAUAACUGACGCUGGAUGCACGAAAGCCUAGGGGAGCAAACAGG
rnacentral:rRNA from 1 species